ACCAACUAAAAUAAGGGCACAUGUGUACAGUUUGGUAAAUGUUGUGUCUGGAACUAUGUCACCAUAUCCAAUGGUACAUAGUGUGACCACGUUGAAGUAUAAAGCAUCUAUUGGCUUCCAGGUUUGUUUACCCUUGAAACUUCUCCAUGUCAGCAGGUAAAUUGUGAUGCCAAUUACUAUAUACACAACUAAUCCACAGGAGGCUUGCUUGACAAUUGAAGAUUAGCUAAAAGGUUUGCCAAUGAAGAUUUGGUUCUUGGUGCUGGGAAAAUAAAGGAGUCGGUGUUGACAAGGUGGUUGUUAGAUUGUUGUGAUGGUGGCCUGAUGUCAGCAUAACUGGGGGACGCUCUACUUUCUGGUAAUGGCUGCUUGGGUUCUUCUGCUACUGUAUUCUUGGAGAGAAGCGGCUCAUCCAUUGAAAUGAAUCUGCAUUUCCUUGAAACUGGGAAUUGUAUUCCAAGUAUAUUCUGUUUUGUAAAGCAUCAUAUAGCAGCUACUAGUGUUUUGAGCUGCAACUACUCGUCAAAGCAGCGACAGAAUGAUAGCUUUAGCUUUGAAUGCAAGGCUAUGACUCUAGUGUUGGGAUUGAUUGGACCAUAGUUUUUUGCCAAUUAUACUGGUAGUUGUGGAGUUUCUUCAAGAAAUAACAGUGGAUUUUUUGAGCUGCCGAUUGUCACCCGUCCGAGUAGACUAGCCAUUGACCUUAUGUUUGCCUCUUUACACACAUCUGUCCAUAAGAACUGCAUAUUUUUCUUCUGGGAUCAUUACAUAAGUAUAAAAGGUACCUAUCUUUUGAUGGCCAGAA